AUCAGGAAGUGUGUCCCUCGCCUGUAAUCCAAGUUACCGGGAGGCUGAGGCUGGAGGAGCUCUGGGCUGCAGCGGACUAUGUCGAUCGGGUGUCCGCACUAAGUUCGGUAUCGAUAUGGUGCUCCGGAGGGAGCCCGGGAUCACCAGGUCGUCUAAGGAGGGGUGCACCGGCCCAGGUCGGACACGGAGCAGGUCAAAGGUCAAAGCCCCUGUGAAUAGACGCUGUAGUUCAGCCUGAGUAAGACAGCGGGACCCGGUCUUUA
rnacentral:SRP_RNA from 1 species